rnacentral:tRNA from 1 species
GGUGGCUCAGUGGUAGAGCAUUUGCCUUGCAUGCAAGAGGCCCUGGGUUCGAUUCCUCAGCACCA